AGGGGUAUAGUUCUUCGGAACUAGAGACCGGCGCACGGGUGCGUAACGCGUAUGCAAUCUACCUUUCACAAAGGGAUAGCCCAGAGAAAUUUGGAUUAAUACCUUAUAGUAUAGCGACUUCGCAUGGAGAUGCUAUUAAAGAUUUAUCGGUGAAAGAUGAGCAUGCGUCCCAUUAGCUAGUUGGUAAGGUAACGGCUUACCAAGGCUACGACGGGUAGGGGUCCUGAGAGGGAGAUCCCCCACACUGGUACUGAGACACGGACCAGACUCCUACGGGAGGCAGCAGUGAGGAAUAUUGGUCAAUGGGCGCGAGCCUGAACCAGCCAUGCCGCGUGCAGGAUGACGGUCCUAUGGAUUGUAAACUGCUUUUGUACAGGAAGAAACACUCCCUCGUGAGGGAGCUUGACGGUACUGUAAGAAUAAGGAUCGGCUAACUCCGUGCCAGCAGCCGCGGUAAUACGGAGGAU
rnacentral:rRNA from 1 species